AAACAGACCUGGAAUUUGUUUUUUUAAAUAUUUAUUUAUUUUUAGUUUUCAGCAGACACAACAUCUUUGUUUGUAUGUGGUGCUGAGGAUCGAACCCGGGCCACACACAUGCCAGGCGAGCGMGCUACCACUUGAGCCACAUCUCCAGCCCCCAGACCUGGAAUUUAAAUGUUCUGUGAUGGUUGUUUGAAACCGAAAAUGCUGUCUGAGGCUAACUUUUUGAGCAGUUAGCUUCUGAAUUCAGCCCCGAAGUGAAGGCUUCAACUUCAAAUAUGGCAUUGAUGAAUUAUUGAAGAAAUUACAAUUGCAGAUGUUCCAUGAUGUCCUUACAAAUCACCUAUUACUUGUAUUUUGCUGAUUUUGUGUAAAACUGGGGAGAAGGUAAGAGAAGAACAAACUAGGCUGGAGAUCACAUGGAAACUCUGAAACUCAAGACCAGAUGAAUCUGAAAUGGCAAGGGAGGCAGAAAGAAUCAAGAGGGAGAGCACGGACAAUGCACACUGGGAUCCCAAAGACUGCGAAUCUUCUUUCCUUUUGCAUUUUCGUCUAUUUUCACAGACGAGGAUAUGGUUUCCAAACGCCUCAUGUGAUGUCCAGAGUUCAGAGUUAUUCACCUCUGAAUACUCACUCAGCAAUGAAGAAAGUUAUGUGGUCAGCAGAAAUAACUAUCUUGACGUAGCAAUUCAGGGAACAUCUAUUUUAAAUCUGUCCCUUGGAAAUUUCACGAAUGAUUUAUCAAAGUCAUAUAUGAUCUAUAACUGUUUCCUUGAGAUAAAUUCUUAGGGGUAGAAUGGCAGGAUCAGAGAGUAUAAAAAGUGUGAGACUUGUAGGAAAGACGGUGGAAUGAGAUGGACAUCAUUACCCUAAGUACAUGUAUGAAGACACAAAUGGCGUGAUUCUACUUUGUGUACAACCAGAGAAAUGAAAAAUUGUGCUCUAUAUGUGUACUAUGAAUUGAAAUGCAUUCUGCUGUCAUGUAUAAUGAAUUAAAAUAAGUAAAUAAAUA
rnacentral:lncRNA from 1 species